rnacentral:rRNA from 1 species
AUUGAACGCUGGCGGCAGGCCUAACACAUGCAAGUCGAACGGUAACACAGAGGAGCUUGCUCCUCGGGUGACGAGUGGCGGACGGGUGAGUAAUGUCUGGGGAUCUGCCCGAUAGAGGGGGAUAACCACUGGAAACGGUGGCUAAUACCGCAUAACGUCGCAAGACCAAAGAGGGGGACCUUCGGGCCUCUCACUAUCGGAUGAACCCAGAUGGGAUUAGCUAGUAGGCGGGGUAACGGCCCACCUAGGCGACGAUCCCUAGCUGGUCUGAGAGGAUGACCAGCAACACUGGAACUGAGACACGGUCCAGACUCCUACGGGAGGCAGCAGUGGGGAAUAUUGCACAAUGGGCGCAAGCCUGAUGCAGCCAUGCCGCGUGUAUGAAGAAGGCCUUCGGGUUGUAAAGUACUUUCAGCGGGGAGGAAGGCGAUGUGGUUAAUAACCGCAUUGAUUGACGUUACCCGCAGAAGAAGCACCGGCUAACUCCGUGCCAGCAGCCGCCGUAA